rnacentral:lncRNA from 1 species
UUAUAAGUCUAACCAAGGGUUUCCACAGGGAGCUCCUCAUAAGUCAUGUCUGCUUGGACCUGUAUCUCUUGGUGAGGAAAGAUGUGAGAAGGGUCAAGGUGGUACCUUUUAAGCAUGGAGACAUGGAAAAUAUCAUGCAGACCCGUAAACUCUAGAGGUGGAGCAAGGUGGUAUGCAACGGGUUUGAUACAUUCCAUGAUCAUAAAAACUCCUACAUAACAAGGGCUUAGCUUAUCCUUCUUACCAAACCGCAUUUU